AAAAAAAUCAUUGUAGGAGGUAUACUCUUUCAUAUGAUUGUAGAAGAGGCGUAGCUUUUCAUAGGAUCAAGGAGGCGGAGACUACCAUUUGAUCCAAAAUAUAGAUCUGAACAUAUGAUCGCGGAGGUAGAGCUUACCGUUAUGAUCAAGGAUGUAAAUUUUAUUAUACGACCAAGAGGCAAAACCUACUAUUAUAAUCGAGAAGAGGAUAUAGUCUUUUACUCCAUAUAUAU
rnacentral:sRNA from 1 species